rnacentral:lncRNA from 1 species
GUGAAGGGGGGUCACAUGAUCGCUGUGUCCCCUCAAAAACAGGUCCUAAGUGCUGGAGAAGGGAUAACUCAGUCUCCAAAGAUUCCACCCUCCAAGGUUGUUGGUGUGCCUGUUGGCUCUGCCUUACCUUCCACAGUGAAGCAGGCUGUGGCAAUCAGUAGUGGCCAAAUCCUUGUCGCCAAGGCCAGCUCUUCCAUCACCAAAGCUGUUGGUCCAAAACAAGUUGUGACCCAAGGAGUUGCCAAAGCAAUCGUGAGUGGAGGUGGAGGGACCAUUGUUGCUCAGCCAGUACAGACCUUAACCAAGACUCAGGUCACAGCUGCUGGGCCUCCGAAGACUGGCUCGCAGGGCUCAGGUAACUUUCUCAGUUAAGGACCUUUCAGUUGCACCACUGUAGAAUUGCAAU